rnacentral:rRNA from 1 species
UACGAAGGGUGCAAGCGUUACUCGGAAUUACUGGGCGUAAAGCGUGCGUAGGUGGUUCGUUAAGUCCGAUGUGAAAGCCCUGGGCUCAACCUGGGAAUGGCAUUGGAUACUGGCGGGCUAGAGUGCGGUAGAGGGCAGUGGAAUCCCGGUGUAGCAGUGAAAUGCGUAGAGAUCGGGAGGAACAUCUGUGGCGAAGGCGACUGCCUGGACCAGCACUGACACUGAGGCACGAAAGCGUGGGGAGCAAACAGG